CUGAGAACUAAUGAAAAUAAAUGCAAAUACAGUGACUUUUCCCUCACUGCGCUCCCAUUAAGCCUUCAGCUAUUCUGACAUAAUUUGUUUCUCUUUUACCGUCUGUGUUUUUACAGGCUGUGCAUGGAGACCAGAGCUUCCAUACUGCAGGAGGACACACACAGGAACAGCCCAGAAGGGAGCAACCCAAAAUCCAAAAAAGUGCCGCUGGGUGGAUUUCAAACGAAUCCUUUUGUCUGGCACCAGUUCCUGGGUCUGUGUAUGCAUAUAGGUCUGAAGCUUUCAUCUCAGUAAGGUGAACAAGCCUGAUGGGAACACUUUGCACCUGCUGGGGUGAGCGAUGACUAACAACUGCCAUACUGCAAAUAACCACCAUGCAAAAUCCCUGCGUGCAAAAUCUGCUGCUGCUAUUGGCUCCUUAAAUUCUUUCAGCUUCUUUACUAACCAGUCACACUAUACAUAAUCUUUACUCUUUAUCUGGACCAUGCAAAGUCUUUGCUAUUUAACCAUAUCAUGCAAUCUCUCUGCUGGUCUACUCCAGGCACUUAUUAAUUGCUGUUCUCAGGAAUCUUUCAGAGCUGAGAAGUGCUGCAGACAAGACUUAGAGCCAGGUGGUUACCCUGGGAGGUUUAUG
rnacentral:lncRNA from 1 species